rnacentral:rRNA from 1 species
UACGUAGGGUCCAAGCGUUAAUCGGAAUUACUGGGCGUAAAGCGUGCGCAGGCGGUUCUGAAAGUCAGCUGUGAAAGCCCCGGGCUUAACCUGGGAAUUGCGGUUGAAACUACAGGGCUAGAAUCUGGCAGAGGGGGGUGGAAUUCCACGUGUAGCAGUGAAAUGCGUAGAGAUGUGGAGGAACACCGAUGGCGAAGGCAGCCCCCUGGGCUGAGAUUGACGCUCAGGCACGAAAGCGUGGGGAGCAAAC